rnacentral:rRNA from 1 species
GGUGAGGUAACGGCCCACCAAGGCGACGAUCAGUAGCCGGCCUGAGAGGGUGGACGGCCACAUUGGGACUGAGACACGGCCCAAACUCCUACGGGAGGCAGCAGUGGGGAAUAUUGCACAAUGGGGGAAACCCUGAUGCAGCGACGCCGCGUGAGCGAAGAAGUAUUUCGGUAUGUAAAGCUCUAUCAGCAGGGAAGAAAAUGACGGUACCUGACUAAGAAGCCCCGGCUAACUACGUGCCAGCAGCCGCGGUAAUACGUAGGGGGCAAGCGUUAUCCGGAUUUACUGGGUGUAAAGGGAGCGUAGACGGUGAAGUAAGUCUGGAGUGAAAGGCGGGGGCCCAACCCCCGGACUGCUCUGGAAACUAUUUGACUGGAGUGCAGGAGAGGUAAGCGGAAUUCCUAGUGUAGCGGUGAAAUGCAUAGAUAUCGCGCAGAACUCCGAUUGCGAAGGCAGCAUGCCGGCUCCACACUGACGCUGAGGCACGAAAGCGUGGGUAUCAAACAGGAUUAGAUACCCUGGUAGUCCACGCAGUAAACGAUGAAUGCUGGCUGUCCGGGGGGACUGACCCCUGGGUGGCGAAGCGAAAGCGAUAAGCAUUCCACCUGGGGAGUACGUUCGCAAGAAUGAAACUCAAAGGAAUUGACGGGGGCCCGCACAAGCGGUGGAGCAUGUGGUUUAAUUCGAAGCAACGCGAAGAACCUUACCAGGUCUUGACAUCCCAUCGAAUAAAGGGUAAUGCCUUUAGUCCUUCGGGACGAUGGAGACAGGUGGUGCAUGGUUGUCGUCAGCUCGUGUCGUGAGAUGUUGGGUUAAGUCCCGCAACGAGCGCAACCCUUAUUGUUAGUUGCUACGCAAGAGCACUCUAGCGAGACUGCCGUUGACAAAACGGAGGAAGGUGGGG